rnacentral:rRNA from 1 species
UACGUAGGGGGCAAGCGUUGUCCGGAAUUAUUGGGCGUAAAGCGCGCGCAGGCGGCUUCUUAAGUCUGAUGUGAAAGCCCACGGCUCAACCGUGGAGGGUCAUUGGAAACUGGGGAGCUUGAGUGCAGAAGAGGAGAGUGGAAUUCCCGGUGUAGAGGUGAAAUUCGUAGAUAUCGGGAGGAACACCGGUGGCGAAGGCGGCGAUCUGGGUCGAUACUGACGCUGAGGUGCGAAAGCGUGGGGAGCAAACAGG